rnacentral:rRNA from 1 species
UACGUAGGGUGCGAGCGUUGUCCGGAAUUACUGGGCGUAAAGAGCUCGUAGGUGGUUUGUCGCGUUGUUCGUGAAAACUCACAGCUUAACUGUGGGCGUGCGGGCGAUACGGGCAGACUGGAGUACUGCAGGGGAGACUGGAAUUCCUGGUGUAGCGGUGGAAUGCGCAGAUAGCAGGAGGAACACCGGUGGCGAAGGCGGGUCUCUGGGCAGUAACUGACGCUGAGGAGCGAAAGCGUGGGGAGCGAACAGG